rnacentral:rRNA from 1 species
GUGAGGAAUAUUGGACAAUGGGCGCAAGCCUGAUCCAGCCAUGUCGCGUGCAGGAAGACGCAUCUAUGGUGUGUAAACUGCUUUUGUACGGGAAGAAACACUCCCUCGUGAGGGAGCUUGACGGUACCGUAAGAAUAAGGAUCGGCUAACUCCGUGCCAGCAGCCGCGGUAAUACGGAGGAUCCAAGCGUUAUCCGGAAUCAUUGGGUUUAAAGGGUCCGUAGGCGGUUUAAUAAGUCAGUGGUGAAAGCCCAUCGCUCAACGAUGGAACGGCCAUUGAUACUGUUAGACUUGAAUUACAAGGAAGUAACUAGAAUAUGUAGUGUAGCGGUGAAAUGCUUAGAUAUUACAUGGAAUACCAAUUGCGAAGGCAGGUUACUACUUGUGGAUUGACGCUGAUGGACGAAAGCGUGGGGAGCGAACAGGAUUAGAAACCCGAGUAGUCC